UUGCUAAGACAGCUAGGAUGUUGGCUUGGAAGCAGCCAUUCAUUUAAAGAGUGCGUAACAGCUCACUAGUCGAGGAGUUUGGCGUGGAUAAUAAUCGGGCAUAAGUAUUCUACCGAAGCUUUGGGAUGAGAAAUCAUCGGUAGGGGAGCAUUCCACUCGGCGUCGAAGGUGAAGCGCGAGCUUUGCUGGAGCGUGUGGAAAAGCAAAUGUAGGUAUAAGUAACGAUAAAGGGGGUGGGAAACCCCCUCGCCGAAAGACUAAGGUUUCCUGAUCAACGCUAAUCGGAUCAGGGUAAGUCGGGUCCUAAGGCUCAGCCGAACGGCGAGGCCGAUGGCAGAACCGGUUAAUAUUCCGGUACUACCUGUGGGAGUGACGUGGAGACGGAGUCGUGACAGCGCCGCGGACUGACGGAAUAGUCCGUUGAAGGGUGUAGAUGCUGAUUGUUCCAGGCAAAUCCGGAGCAAGAGUCGAACCUGAUAGUAUGGAGCGUUCUUAGAACAAUCCAAUAGUGCGUGUAAUCAUACUUCCAAGAAAAUCCGCUAAACUUAAUCCUCCAGGUACCCGUACCGCAAACGGACACACGUAGUCGGGUUGAAUAUACUAAGGCGCUUGAGUGAUUCACGGUUAAGGAACUAGGCAAACUGACCCUGUAACUUCGGGAUAAAGGGUCCUCGCUUAACGGCGAGGCGCAGAGA
rnacentral:rRNA from 1 species